rnacentral:rRNA from 1 species
CCUUUGACGUUAGCGGCGGACGGGUGAGUAACACGUGGGUAACCUACCUAUAAGACUGGGAUAACUUCGGGAAACCGGGGCUAAUACCGGAUAAUAUUUCGAACCGCAUGGUUCGAUAGUGAAAGAUGGUUUUGCUAUCACUUAUAGAUGGACCUGCGCCGUAUUAGCUAGUUGGUAAGGUAACGGCUUACCAAGGCGACGAUACGUAGCCGACCUGAGAGGGUGAUCGGCCACACUGGAACUGAGACACGGUCCAGACUCCUACGGGAGGCAGCAGUA